rnacentral:rRNA from 1 species
UUCGCCCUUAGAGUUUGAUCCUGGCUCAGGAUGAACGCUAGCUACAGGCUUAACACAUGCAAGUCGAGGGGAAACGACAUCGAAAGCUUGCUUUUGAUGGGCGUCGACCGGCGCACGGGUGAGUAACGCGUAUCCAACCUGCCCACCACUUGGGGAUAACCUUGCGAAAGUAAGACUAAUACCCAAUGACGUCUCUAGAAGACAUCUGAAGGAGAUUAAAGAUUUAUCGGUGAUGGAUGGGGAUGCGUCUGAUUAGCUUGUUGGCGGGGUAACGGCCCACCAAGGCGACGAUCAGUAGGGGUUCUGAGAGGAAGGUCCCCCACAUUGGAACUGAGACACGGUCCAAACUCCUACGGGAGGCAGCAGUGAGGAAUAUUGGUCAAUGGGCGAGAGCCUGAACCAGCCAAGUAGCGUGCAGGAUGACGGCCCUAUGGGUUGUAAACUGCUUUUAUAAGGGAAUAAAGUGAGUCUCGUGAGACUUUUUGCAUGUACCUUAUGAAUAAGGACCGGCUAAUUCCGUGCCAGCAGCCGCGGUAAUACGGAAGGUCCGGGCGUUAUCCGGAUUUAUUGGGUUUAAAGGGAGCGUAGGCCGGAGAUUAAGCGUGUUGUGAAAUGUAGACGCUCAACGUCUGCACUGCAGCGCGAACUGGUUUCCUUGAGUACGCACAAAGUGGGCGGAAUUCGUGGUGUAGCGGUGAAAUGCUUAGAUAUCACGAAGAACUCCGAUUGCGAAGGCAGCUCACUGGAGCGCAACUGACGCUGAAGCUCGAAAGUGCGGGUAUCGAACAGGAUUAGAUACCCUGGUAGUCCGCACGGUAAACGAUGGAUGCCCGCUGUUGGUCUGAAUAGGUCAGCGGCCAAGCGAAAGCAUUAAGCAUCCCACCUGGGGAGUACGCCGGCAACGGUGAAACUCAAAGGAAUUGACG